UAAAAUUCUGAGGGGGUGAACUUUUUCGUAACUACCUCUAUAUCGCUAUAAUAAGCGAUAUAGUGGUUUGAAAUUUACGUGACGUCACAGUGAGCUGCGCCCUCCCUUCUCCUUACUUUUUCCUGUGUCAUUGAACACAACUCGAGACUUUCGAAACCUCCCACUCAGUAUCGGAUGAAUAACACAGUUUGAUGUUUUGCUUGUUCUGCUGACGGACACGUUAAAGACGUCUGCGCUCCCGUUUCUGUGCAUGUCCAGCAUGAGACAACUGGAAUUCAACCACAUUGAACACCGACUUCAGGGACAGACGAGCCUGAAGGACACAGCUGUGAUGACCAUGUUCUGUCUCUUAUGGCAAAGCAGAAAUAUAAAACACUGGGUUCUUAUCUAAAGUGUAUCAAAUCAGAUCUCCACCAUGUUGCUGCUGAGGACAUCAGGUGCUGCAGUUCUUCAUCUAUGAAGAGAAAAAACGCACUGUUAAAGAAUGUUUUGUGUUGUGUAUAAAGCACAACAGAUUUCUGAUAGAACUGUUGUACUGUGGUCUUGGUUUAUAUCCUCAUGGUGAAAUGUACAUAUUUUAAGUCCCUUCUGAUAAAAGUGCUGAAAGAAAUACAACAUUGUACAAAUACAUAAAAUGUCUUUCUACCUCAUCAGUACUAUUCAAGGUGAUAAUCUCCCACAGACCUAUUGAUAACAGUCCAAAUCAAGUCUUUCCACUUCUCUCAGUGUGAAAACAUAAUUCUAUAAUUAAUUUGAGAACUGUUUACAACACUGAUGUGUGGAGAUUAAAAUCAUACCUAAACUGUCUAAUUCACUGUAAAACUCCAUGACAUUCGCAGGCCAUCUGUAGUUAAGGGAGCAACGCAUGGAAUGAUGUGUAGAUUACUAGUUUGAUGAUGCAUGAGGAGAGGCGGUGGUCGAGUGGCAGAAACUUGGACUAUGGGCAGAGAAGGUCUCUGGUUCGUCUUUGGUUCGACUCCAUGGAGAGACAACAAAAGUCGAACCUGGAUUGAUCUGUCCAAAAAUCCAAGAGUCUCCCUACCCUCUCUAGUGCCCAUGAGCAAGGCACCUCACUCCCCCAACAUCUGCUCCCCCGAGCGCCGUACAUGGUCGCUCACUGCUCUGUGUGUCCUGCACCAGAUGGGUAAAAGGCAGCGAUUAAAUUUCCCUACCUGCAUGAGUGUGCCUUUGCAUGUCUGUGCAUGUGUUUGGGAUGAAUAAAUGGAUUUUAAUCUUAA